rnacentral:rRNA from 1 species
CGUAACAAGGUCUCCGUAGGUGAACCUGCGGAGGGAUCAUUACACAAAUAUGAAGGCGGGCUGGAACCUCUCGGGUUACAGCCUUGCUGAAUUAUUCACCCUCGUCUUUUGCGUACUUCUUGUUUCCUUGGUGGGUUCGCCCACCACUAGGACCAACAUAAACCUUUUGUAAUUGCAAUCAGCGUCAGUAACAAAUUAAUAAUUACAACUUUCAACAACGGAUCUCUUGGUUCUGGCAUCGAUGAAGAACGCAGCGAAAUGCGAUAAGUAGUGUGAAUUGCAGAAUUCAGUGAAUCAUCGAAUCUUUGAACGCACAUUGCGCCCUUUGGUAUUCCAAAGGGCAUGCCUGUUCGAGCGUCAUUUGUACCCUCAAGCUUUGCUUGGUGUUGGGCGUCUUGUCUCUAGCUUUGCUGGAGACUCGCCUUAAAGUAAUUGGCAGCCGGCCUACUGGUUUCGGAGCGCAGCACAAGUCGCACUCUCUAUCAGCAAAGGUCUAGCAUCCAUUAAGCCUUUUUUUCAACUUUUGACCUCGGAUCAGGUAGGGACACCCGCUGAACUUAAGCAUAUCA